GACAUAGGUGGCAAACGUUAUCCGGAAUUAUUGGGCGUAAAGGGUGCGUAGGUGGUUCAAUAAGUUACUGGUGGCAAAUCGGGGCCCAACCCCGUGGAAGUCGGUAAUACUAUUAAACUAGAGGAUCGGAGAGGUUAACGGAAUUCUAUGUGUAGCGGUAAAAUGCUCAAAUAUAUAGAGGAACACCAAACGGGGAAGGCAGUGAACGAGUCGGUGCCUGACGUUGAGGCACGAAAGCGGGGGGAGCAAGACGG
rnacentral:rRNA from 1 species